CUUAUUUCUACUUGUAGUUGUAGGCUACUAUUAGUACUUCAUUGAUAACCACAAAUGAAUUAUGCUUCGACAUGUCUUUUUACACCCACCAUGCAAAAAUAUCUUGUUUGUUUUAAGCCCUAGACUUUCUCAUUCUCUUCUCAUCUACAAUACAACCGCUUCACUAAAAAUCUCCUUAACUAAUUAAACUUUCUUGGGCAGAUUUCCCACUGUACUGGGACAAGUUACCUCAACAUGUUACUUUAAUCUAUUACAACUGUACUGCCAACAUCUCCAUACAGACCCUCUUCAAUCUCUUAUAACAGCUACCAUAUCAUCACAAUGAACUUAUUCUGUUUCUCUCUUAUCACUUUGUCUUCUCAGAUGGAACCCACAACCGGAAUGACAAGCCCGGAGCUGUAUGGAUACAUCCACAAUGUAUCACCAUUUAUGAAAACGAGCUGGAUCAACAGAACAUACUUCACUGCCAUUUUGCAAGAAGAAACACAACAACGUGAAAUUAUUGUCUAUGACACCUCCCAGCAUGCCCAUUAUAAAAACAUCAGUAGCAAAAGACAACCUGUCAAAAUCACCAAUCCAAAAAUCGAGCCAUCCAAACAGAGACCCGGUGAGCUAGCCACCUUAAUAAUCGAAAUCACCAAUGUGCAAACCAUCGAAAGCUUGGACUUCGACCAUGAUCCCACUGUUGCUCAUCCCCAAACCACCUUGGCAGAGAUCCUUGCAAGUUCUUCUGAAAAACGCAAGGUCAACAUCACUGUGGAAAUCAAGGCACUGCGCGAGGAGGGGACACAAUGGGUUGAAGCCCGACAGAAAAACCUACCCAUGGCCAGAUAUGCUGUGGGGGACAGUACUGGCAACAUGGACCUUACUAUUUGGGAUAUCCCAAAACUUGAAGUGAACCAGUGGUAUGCCCUAACCAACAUUUCAAUACGCACCUUUAAUAAAAUCUCACUAUCUACAACCCGCAGUACUGAGGUCAGACAGACCGAAAAACCA